UACGUAGGGGGCAAGCGUUGUCCGGAAUCAUUGGGCGUAAAGCGCGUGUAGGCGGCCAGAAAAGUCCGCUGUGAAAACUCGAGGCUCAACUUCGAGCUGUCGGUGGAAACUUUCUGGCUAGAGUCCGGAAGAGGAGAAUGGAAUUCCUGGUGUAGCGGUGAAAUGCGCAGAUAUCAGGAGGAACACCGAUGGCGAAGGCAGGUCUCUGGGCCACUGACUGACGCUGAGAAGCGAAAGCGUGGGGAGCGAACAGG
rnacentral:rRNA from 1 species